UACGUAGGGUGCAAGCGUUGUCCGGAAUUAUUGGGCGUAAAGAGCUCGUAGGCGGUCUGUCGCGUCUGCUGUGAAAACUCGGGGCUUAACCCCGGGCCUGCAGUGGGUACGGGCAGACUAGAGUGCGGUAGGGGAGACUGGAAUUCCUGGUGUAGCGGUGAAAUGCGCAGAUAUCAGGAGGAACACCAAUGGCGAAGGCAGCACUCUGGGACGUGACUGACGCUGAGACGCGAAAGCGUGGGGAGCAAACAGG
rnacentral:rRNA from 1 species